UGCAAGUCGAGCGGAAACGAUGGGAGCUUGCUCCCMGGCGUCGAGCGGCGGACGGGUGAGUAACACUUAGGAAUCUACCUAGUAGUGGGGGAUAGCUCGGGGAAACUCGAAUUAAUACCGCAUACGUCCUACGGGAGAAAGGGGGCAACUUGUUGCUCUCGCUAUUAGAUGAGCCUAAGUCGGAUUAGCUAGUUGGUGGGGUAAAGGCCUACCAAGGCGACGAUCUGUAGCUGGUCUGAGAGGAUGAUCAGCCACACCGGGACUGAGACACGGCCCGGACUCCUACGGGAGGCAGCAGUGGGGAAUAUUGGACAAUGGGGGCAACCCUGAUCCAGCCAUGCCGCGUGUGUGAAGAAGGCCUUUUGGUUGUAAAGCACUUUAAGCAGUGAAGAAGACCUAACGGUUAAUACCCGUUAGCGAUGACAUUAGCUGCAGAAUAAGCACCGGCUAACUCUGUGCCAGCAGCCGCGGUAAUACAGAGGGUGCAAGCGUUAAUCGGAAUUACUGGGCGUAAAGCGAGCGUAGGUGGCUUGAUAAGUCAGAUGUGAAAUCCCCGGGCUUAACCUGGGAACUGCAUCUGAUACUGUCAGGCUAGAAUAGGUGAGAGGAAGGUAGAAUUCCAGGUGUAGCGGUGAAAUGCGUAGAGAUCUGGAGGAAUACCGAUGGCGAAGGCAGCCUUCUGGCAUCAUAUUGACACUGAGGUUCGAAAGCGUGGGUAGCAAACAGGAUUAGAUACCCUGGUAGUCCACGCCGUAAACGAUGUCUACUAGUCGUUGGGUCCCUUGAGGACUUAGUGACGCAGCUAACGCAAUAAGUAGACCGCC
rnacentral:rRNA from 1 species